CAUGGCAAUGGCCUGUGUGGGCCUCUCUUUUUGGAAAAUGGAGGGAGGGAUAUUAUCCUAGCUGUCUGGGCUGCUGCUUUCCUUCUGUGGCCAGCAUCUUGAAAGGAGCAGGAGGGCAAAGUGGUCUGAGGAGGCCAAUAUAUACAGUGAAAAAAGCAGGGAGUGCUGCCAAAAGCCACACAGGACUGGCAAUCACUUGACUCAGGGCCUUUGCACAUGCUAUUUCCUUCUCGUGGAAGGCUCCUCCCCCAUAUAUCUGGAUGGCCAACUCCCUCACCUCUUUUAGUUCUUUGCUCACAUAUGACCUUCUCAGUGAGGCCUUCCUGACCACGCUAUUUAAAAAUGUCAUCCUGCUCCCAGCAUUUUCUGUCCUCCAUUCCUGCCUUAUUUUUUCCAUAUUACUUAUCACCAUCUAACAUAUGGUAUCUUUUACUUAUUUACUAUGUUUAUUGGAUGACUCCUUCCACUAGAAUGCAGGCUGCAUGAGGGUCGGGAUUUUUGUCUGUUUUAUUCAUUGCAGUAUCUCCUGUAUCUAGAAAAGCACCUGGCUUGAAAAAGGUGCUCACAUAAUCUCAGCUGAAUUAACGAAUCAACAAAGACAACGCUGCGUGCUGUUAGGACGGGUUGUGUGCCCGGCAAUGGGUUACCCCCUGUAGGGGAGGAAGUGGACAAGAUCUCAGACUAGGAGUGGGGAGAGCUGGGCUCGAGCCCCAGCCCUGCCCCUCACCAGCAGGAAAGUGGAGAUUGGGCAGCCCCUUCGCAUCCCUCCAGGGAGCUGUGAAACUCAGGCCAGGUAAUGGAAAUAAAAGCACACCGUGAAUUACGAAGGGCCGCCCCUCAUGGCCCUCCCCAUCCUGAUUCUACCAUUUUGUCCGGGGAUGACCCAAGUGACAGUGUGGUCCGUUGAGGCUGGUGUAACUAGAGAUUUCUUGGAGAAAGUGAGUCCUGAGCUGGGCUCUAAAUGUACAGGGAACAACACUGGCAAAGGCCCAGAGGAACAAGGAAUUUGGGGUGGGGGAGGCAGAGCCUCUCUGGAGAUCGUUUCUGAUGCUAAUUCAAGACACAAGAGCCCAGGGGAGCUUCUGCCUGCUGUGGCCACCACUUCUCAGGACAGUUGCCCUGGCUGAGCUGUAUUCUACUCAAAGCGUGCUUGUCACCAGGAACUGGGACCCACCGCACUGCUGUGGUGUGUCGCCGGUUGGCAAAGAUAACAGGCAGCCUCCAGGCAGCGGAGAUUGGGCCUCAGAGGCUGGAGCUGGAGGGUCAGGGACUCCAGCCCUCUCCUGGGGCCUCACAGCUCACCCACCUUGCACAAGGGCCAACUGAGCUGCUCCCGCCUUCUCCCCGUGUUACAGCUUUUUGGUUCAGCCCCUUUUCCUGACUACAGUUUCUAAGUGUCUUAGUGACACAUAGCAUUUCUGGUGUCCUUGAAUCAGCCUAGGGACGGAGCAGUCACUUGCCUACCCCACAUCCAGCCCCUGUGGCCAGGAGGGGACCAAAGUCACGUGGUCACAGUGGGAGUGGGGUCCCCCUCUGAUGUCAGGGGGCAAGGAGAAUUGAUCUAGAAAGGCAGUUGGGCAGGGAAGGUCAAAUGGCUGAAGUUUGAGUACAAGUCUUCAAUACCAUCUUGCAGGCUGGGCCCCUCAGGGUGGAUUCUGGGAGAAAGAAACAGGCCCAUUUCCGUGGGGACCCUGCCUGAACGAGUCUGAAUGUGGCAGCUGCAAGUGCAGGAGCACCAUUCUGAUGGAACCUGAAGCCAGAGGAAGAAGGAAGAAAAUUACCACUUCUUAGGACCUAGCGGACGAUGAAGGAAGAGAAUCCUCAUCUCUUGCCAGCAGAAAUCAAUAAUUUAUGAAGUACUGCUCCAGCCAGAGCAAAGAGCAAUUUUUUUUAAUGCUUCUUAAAAUACAGUAUUAACAAGUCUUCUAAAGGGUGAAAAUAUUUGAGUUAGGGUAAAUGAAUGUUUUAUGAGCUGGCUGGGGAGCAGUCUCCUGAGAUGGGCAGAGGGGUGGCUGAGGAGGCAGGAGAGAGCCUUGCAUUCGAGCUGGCUCAGUGUCCUGAGGUUCUGGGCCCAGGCCACUGGUACUUGUCAGGGGAUGGCCACGUGUGCCCAGGUCCAAGACUACUGUGAAUCUUAAAUUCUGGCCUCUGGAGACCUGCUGCCCUAGAAUGGUCCUCCAGGCCUCC
rnacentral:lncRNA from 1 species